GUCAUUAGCCUAUAGUAAAUGUGCAUGUUUAAAUGCGCUUUAUUACCCUCUAUUAAGCCGGUUUUCCACUAGCGAAUUUUUCCGCGCGAAGCGACCUUUUUCCUUUGUCAGCAUCUAUUUUGCAGCCCUCGAAAAGUCAAAACAGUCAAAAUUGAGGUCGGCAAAAAAGGGCCGACCUAAAUCUGACCUAGGUCGGCACAUCUCGGC